GAUGAACGCUGGCGGCGUGCUUAACACAUGCGAGUCGAACGGAAAGGCCAGUGCUUGCCCUGGUACUCGAGUGGCGAACGGGUGAGUAACACGUGGGUGAUCUGCCCUGCACUUCGGGAUAAGCCUGGGAAACUGGGUCUAAUACCGGAUAGGACAAUGGUUUGGAUGCCGUUGUGGAAAGUUUUUUCGGUGUGGGAUGAGCUCGCGGCCUAUCAGCUUGUUGGUGGGGUAAUGGCCUACCAAGGCGUCGACGGGUAGCCGGCCUGAGAGGGUGUACGGCCACAUUGGGACUGAGAUACGGCCCAGACUCCUACGGGAGGCAGCAGUGGGGAAUAUUGCACAAUGGGCGCAAGCCUGAUGCAGCGACGCCGCGUGGGGGAUGACGGCCUUCGGGUUGUAAACUCCUUUCGCUAGGGACGAAGCGUAUUUGUGACGGUACCUGGAGAAGAAGCACCGGCUAACUACGUG
rnacentral:rRNA from 1 species